rnacentral:lncRNA from 1 species
GCUCUCUCUUAUCUCUUCCAUCUUCCAUCGCUUUCUCUUUUCCAAUUUGGAACCGAUGAAAGAGAUAUGAGAAUCGAUUCAAUCUUUGACUAAUCGCCGAAGCUAUGUACUGGCGGUUAGAUCGAUACCAUUGUUCAUCGGAGAUUUGAAUACAUAGAUCCGGUCAGGUGGUAAGAUUCAUGUACUGAACCCACUCAGCCAAGGUUUUCUUAUUUCCAAAUCUGGUUGUUUGAUGCUUUGGUUCUCACAAGAAAGGCAAAGGACCAGUAUUCUUGGAAAGGAUUUGGGGCAAUGUCUAAUGCUAUACAGGAGCUUAAGGAAGAGGGUCUGAAAGAGAACUUCAAUACCUUCCAUCAAUUUUACGGCAAUGAUGAUCCAAAAGUAGAAUCCAUCUCCUUUGAUGAAGCUGCAAGGUUAUUACUUGGGGAUGCAGACAAUGCAUUCAUAAUUACUUGCUGUUUUUUAUUCAAUUGUAGAGUCGGUUUUGUUGUGGCAAAGGAGCUUAGCGGUCGGUGCGGCAUUUGGCUGCAGUUGCAAUGGCGAGGGUUAUAUCCAAGGGAGAUAUCAUCUUAAUAUACUCAAGAGCCAGCAACCUCCUAGGGUUUCUUUCUGAUGGGAAGAAGAGUGACUCACAAAAAGUAGCUGGGGCUGCAUAAUGCUUAGGAGGAUUAUAUCGAUAUUUUGGGAGGCGAAUCACUUCAAGUUUACUUAAAACGACUAUGAUUGCCACAAAACUCAUCAAGUUUCAUGAGGUACUUCCACCACAUCUGUAACUCUUUUGUAUUAUAGGUUGGUAUUGUCUUUUUAUUAUUUUCUUCGUUCCACAAGGAGUAGAACUUUCAAUAAGAAAAAAAUGGGUGAACAAAGUGUAUUUGUCAUAUACUGCAUCAGUUGAAGAAUACUGCAUUGGAAUUGUGAUAUGCCACACUGAUUUUUAUUAUUAUGUUUAUUAUUUAUUUAUUUUACAACUAGUGAAGGACCUAAGAUCUU